AACGCAUAUUGCACUCUCUGGUAUUCCGGGGAGUAUGCCUGUUUGAGGGUCAGUAAAUAAUAAUUAUCAUAAUCUUUUGAUUGUGGAAUUGGGCUUUUAUUUCAUUUUAAUGAUUUAUGGCCUCAAAUUUACGUUACCGCUUGUUUAAUAUGAAAUUCGACCGAAUGGAGCAAUUAAACAUUCUCUCGUUAGGCGGAUUCAUCAAGCAAUUACGAUUUUUUGGCCGUCGAAGCACUUUUUUUUUAGAAGUGCUUGGUCAAGAUUGUAAGAUACAUUUAACAAUGACCUCAAAUCAGGCAAGAAUACCCGCUGAACUUAA
rnacentral:misc_RNA from 1 species